AUUGAACGCUGGCGGCAGGCUUAACACAUGCAAGUCGAACGAGUGGCGGACGGGUGAGUAAUGCUUGGGAAUCUAGCUUAUGGAGGGGGAUAACUACGGGAAACUGUAGCUAAUACCGCGUACCAUAGGAUGAGCCCAAGUGGGAUUAGGUAGUGGGUGAGGUAAAGCCUCACCAAUCGGACGAUCUCUAGCUGGUCUAAGAGGAUGAACAGCCACACUGGGACUGGGACACGGCCCAGACUCCUACGGGAGGCAGCAGUGGGGAAUAUUGCGCAAUGGGGACAACCUGACGCAGCCAGGCCGCGUGAAUGAAGAAGGCCUUCGGGUUGUAAAGUUCUUUCGGUAGCGAGGCGUUACCUACAGAAGAAGCACCGGCUAACUCCGUGCCAGCAGCCGCGGUAAUAC
rnacentral:rRNA from 1 species